rfam:Exophiala mesophila strain CBS 40295 unplaced genomic scaffold supercont1.5, whole genome shotgun sequence.
GACACUUUGGCGGAGUGGUUAACGCGCUGCCCUGCUAUAGAUCAAAUGAUUUAAGCGGUAUUAGGCAGUUCCUUCGGGAGCGCAGGUUCGAAUCCUGCAGGUGUCG